rnacentral:rRNA from 1 species
AUUGAACGCUGGCGGCAUGCCUUACACAUGCAAGUCGAACGGCAGCACGGACUUCGGUCUGGUGGCGAGUGGCGAACGGGUGAGUAAUGUAUCGGAACGUACCUUUCAGUGGGGGAUAACGUAGCGAAAGUUACGCUAAUACCGCAUAUUCUGUGAGCAGGAAAGCAGGGGAUCGCAAGACCUUGCGCUGAUUGAGCGGCCGAUAUCAGAUUAGCUAGUUGGUGAGGUAAAGGCUCACCAAGGCGACGAUCUGUAGCGGGUCUGAGAGGAUGAUCCGCCACACUGGAACUGAGACACGGUCCAGACUCCUACGGGAGGCAGCAG